CCUACGGGGGGCAGCAGUAGGGAAUCUUCGGCAAUGGACGAAAGUCUGACCGAGCAACGCCGCGUGAGUGAAGAAGGUUUUCGGAUCGUAAAACUCUGUUGUUAGAGAAGAACAAGGAUGAGAGUAGAAUGUUCAUCCCUUGACGGUAUCUAACCAGAAAGCCACGGCUAACUACGUGCCAGCAGCCGCGGUAAUACGUAGGUGGCAAGCGUUGUCCGGAUUUAUUGGGCGUAAAGCGAGCGCAGGCGGUUUCUUAAGUCUGAUGUGAAAGCCCCCGGCUCAACCGGGGAGGGUCAUUGGAAACUGGGAAACUUGAGUGCAGAAGAGGAGAGUGGAAUUCCAUGUGUAGCGGUGAAAUGCGUAGAUAUAUGGAGGAACACCAGUGGCGAAGGCGGCUCUCUGGUCUGUAACUGACGCUGAGGCUCGAAAGCGUGGGGAGCAAACAGGAUUAGAUACCCGUGUAGUC
rnacentral:rRNA from 1 species